CACAAUGACUCUCGGCAACGGAUAUCUCGGCUCUUGCAUCGAUGAAGAACGUAGCGAAAUGCGAUACUUGGUGUGAAUUGCAGAAUCCCGUGAACCAUCGAGUUUUUGAACGCAAGUUGCGCCCGAAGCCAUUAGGCUGAGGGCACGCCUGCCUGGGUGUCACA
rnacentral:rRNA from 2 species